rnacentral:ncRNA from 1 species
UUUUUUUCGAUGAGAAAGAAAGUAAGCUCGGAACGGUUUUAGAGAGACUCUGGUUGGUGAAAGGAGUUAGAAGUGAAGAGCUGAAGAUGGCUUUUGAGAAACUUUUGGCGAUAGGUAGUUGGAAGCGGAAUGUCCACCGAUACAAGGACCUCCGAUUUCACGAGUGUGAAGUCGGGCUGAGGGAAGGGAAACCUUCUGAACUUAAGGUGGUAACACGAUUAUUCGUCCUUUUG